ACAUAACUGAUGCCUCCGCGUAUCGACUUUGUGCGCAUUUUAGCUAUUAUGUGUUCUUUUAAUUGAAAUGAUUCUUUUUAAGAUUCAUCUAUUAAAAAUUUGCUUCGGCAUAAUUUUUUUUGAUGAUCUUGUUACUUUGAGUAAAUUAGAGUGUUCAAAGCAAACAGAUAUAGCAUUUGUGCGUUUGAAUACUACAGCAUGGAAUAACAAAAUUGAACAAGUCAGAAUUUUUUUGUUCUUUUUUCUUAUUUUGGCUUAGUUACGAUUAAUAGGAGUAGCUUGGGGGCAUUUGUAUUCAGAUGUCAGAGGUGAAAUUCUUAGAUUUUCUGGAGACAAACAACUGCGAAAGCAUUUGCCUAAAAUACUUCCAUUAAUCAAGAACGAAAGUUAAGGGAGUGAAGACGAUCAGAUACCGUCGUAAUCUUAACCAUAAACUAUGCCGACUAGGCUUUGGAUGAAAGAUUUUAAAAUAAGAGUUUUUCUUUUCUCUCCGGAGAUUAGAACUCUUAGAUUGCUUCCUUCAGUGCCUUAUGAGAAAUCAAAGUCUUUGGGUUCUGGGGCGAGUAUUCGCGCAAGCGAGAAAGUUAAAAGAAUUGACGGAAGGGCACCACCAGGCGUGGAGCUUGCGGCUUAAUUUGACUCAACACGGGAAAACUCACUAGUUUAAGACAAGAGUAGGAUUGACAGAUUAAUAGCUCUUUCUUGAUUUCUUGGAUGGUGAUGCAUGGCCGUUUUUAGUUCGUGAAUAUGAUUUGUCUGGUUAAUUCCGAUAACGAACGAGAUCUUAACCUGCUAAUUAGCGGCAAAUACGAUAUAUUCUUAUGUAGAAUUGAAUAUAGUGGAUUUGUUAGAUUUUGAAGAAAAUAUUGGAAUUACGUUAAAUGUGAUUCCUUUCCCUUUUCUACUUAAUUUACAUUUCCAUCUAUUUCUUUUUUGCGUAUGAAUGUAUUUGCUUGAUUGUAAAGCUUCUUAGAGGAACGAUGUGUG
rnacentral:rRNA from 1 species